UCUGUACAUGAUAACAACUAGCUCCCUCUACCGAACUGUCAUGAGGUAAACGCCAUGUGUAAAAA
rnacentral:snoRNA from 1 species